AUUGAACGCUAGCGGGAUGCUUUACACAUGCAAGUCGAACGAGUGGCGGACGGGUGAGUAAUGUAUCGGAACGUGCGCAGUAGCGGGGGACAAGUACUCGAAGGAGUGGCUAAAACCGCAUACUAUCGCAGCGGCCGAUUUCGGAAGAGCUAGUUGGGGGGGUAAAGGCUCACAAAGGCAACGAUCCGUAGCUGGUGUGAGAGGACGACCAGCCACACUGGGACUGAGACACGGCCCAGACUCCUACGGGAGGCAGCAGUGGGGAAUUUUGGACAAUGGGGGAAACCCUGAUCCAGCCAUCCCGCGUGUAUGAGAAGGCCUUCGGGUUGUAAAGUACUUUUGGCAGAGAAGCGGUAUCUGCAGAAUAAGCACCGGCUAACUACGUGCCAGCAGCCGCGGCAAUUC
rnacentral:rRNA from 1 species